AGUCCUCAACACCUGAACCAUGUUGGGAAUUACAGUCCUCGCUGCCAUCCUGGCCUGCGCCUCCAGCUGUGGGGACCCCACCUUCCCACCCAACCUGUCAGCCAGAGUGGUAGGAGGAGAGGAUGCUGUCCCCAAAGCUGGCCUUGGCAGGUCUCUCUUCAGUACCUCAGGGAUGACACUUGGAGGCACACCUGUGGGGGCAGUCUCAUCACCACCAGCCACGUCCUCACUGCUGCCCACUGCAUCAACACAAACUUGACCUACCGCGUGGGCCUGGGGAAGUAUAACCUGACAGUGGAGGAUGAGGAAGGCUCCGUGUACGCGGAGGUGGAUACCAUCUACGUCCAUGAGAAGUGGAACCGUCUUCUGCUGUGGAACGACAUCGCCAUCAUCAAGUUGGCUGAGCCUGUGGAGCUGAGCGACACCAUCCAGGUGGCCUGUAUCCCAGAGCAAGAUUCCUUGCUGCCUGGGGACUAUCCCUGCUAUGUCACUGGCUGGGGUCGCCUCUGGACCAACGGUCCCAUUGCUGAAGUGCUCCAGCAGGGUCUGCAGCCCAUAGUGAACCACACCACGUGCUCCAGGUUGGACUGGUGGUUCAUCAAGGUCCGGGAGACGAUGGUGUGCGCUGGUGGUGACGGUGUCAUCUCUGCCUGUAACGGAGACUCUGGUGGCCCACUGAACUGCCCAGUGGAAGACGGCUUGUGGCAGGUGCAUGGCAUCGUGAGCUUUGGUUCCAGUAGAGGCUGCAACACAUACAAGAAGCCCGUGGUCUUCACCCGUGUGUCUGCCUAUAUUGACUGGAUCAAGGAGAAAAUACAACUGUGAAGAGACGGUUCCAGAAGUCUCGACGCCCAUCUCCCAACAGCAAUAAAGCUCCUUCCAUAAA